UAGGGAAUCUUCCACAAUGGACGCAAGUCUGAUGGAGCAACGCCGCGUGAGUGAAGAAGGUCUUCGGAUCGUAAAACUCUGUUGUUAGAGAAGAACAUGCAGGAGAGUAACUGUUCUUGUAUUGACGGUAUCUAACCAGAAAGCCACGGCUAACUACGUGCCCG
rnacentral:rRNA from 1 species